rnacentral:rRNA from 1 species
UACGUAGGGGGCAAGCGUUGUCCGGAUUUACUGGGUGUAAAGGGUGCUCAGGCGGGUUUGUAAGUCAGAGGUGAAACUCCGAAGCUUAACUUCGGAACUGCCUUUGAUACUGCAUCCCUAGAGUUUGAGAGAGGCGAGUGGAAUAUCUGGUGUAGCAGUGAAAUGCGUAGAUAUCAGAUAGAACACCAAUGGCGAAGGCAGCUCGCUGGCUCAAUACUGACGCUAAAGCACGAAAGUGUGGGUAGCAAAC